AAAAUUUAUUCAGUUUCCAACCUCAUCUCACAAACACAUUACCCUUUCCCUUGCUUAAAACGGCCACUGGCUCAUGAACGGGGCACCAAACUUAACUGCAACUCACACCCCCAAGUGUCCAAUGGCACCAUCCUGGAUCAGCUAGAGAUAGUCUUACAGACUGAUGCCUUCUACAUGCUCUGGCCCUUUAGCAGCUACCACACACAGGAGCAAACUUUAACUGAAUUUACAUGUACAGAACACCCAAACUUAACUGAAUACCACACAACAAGUCAGCCACAUUAUAUAAACCAGUACAAGCAUCGAGUAGUUCCAUGUUAUCAUCAAGCAGCUCACAUAAGGCGCGUAGUGUCAUCACAUGGGAUUACACACAAAUAAAUAUAGUAAGCGCAGAGUGAUGACAAUCACUUACAGUCUUACACACCAAAUGUACGGGGUGCAAGCUAAACUGUAAUCAAUGGCUCAAAACACCAUGAUAUAUACUAGCAUGGAAAACUAUGGGAACCAUUAUCACACCACAUCAAGAUGGAUGGUAACUAACAUUCCCCAUCCCCCUCCCCCCAGGAUUACGACUUCCCGAAUAUCUUUUCCAAAUUUACAUUUGUGCUAGCUUUUCCAAGCUGAAAUACGUGUAAGCUUCAGACAGAUAAGAACAGCACCACCUCGAUAAUGAAAUCCGGCAGCAGCUCUAUUCCCAAAUCACCUCGUACGCUAUUCACCUUGUACUCCUCUUUCGAUCUCAUGAAUCCACAAAGUACACCCUGCAGAAUCAAAAGAAUCGGCACACACAAUAAUUAAAAACGGAUCUGACUGGAUUAAUCAUGCAGUGUUUAAUCUGCAACUUACAUCUCUCUCGCUGCACCUGUAGAAACGAUGCCCUGCAUUCGCUCCACCACGAGCGAUCCAAGAGAUGGGAGAUUGGUUGCCGCGCGCGGCGGAUCUGUUCUGCUUUGGAUUGGAUUUAGCAGGGCGUGUGGAGAAGACGCCGUGUUGGGGAAGGUUGGUAGCUGCAGCCUGCAACGGCCGGGCAC
rnacentral:lncRNA from 1 species